AAUUUGCAUAUAGGAACUGAAAAGCAAAUAUUGUGCAAUUUGAUAUAUUAUCAAGAUUGCGUUCAUCACGUGAAUAAUUUAUGGAGGCGUGGCAGUGCCACGCUGAUUGCGCCCCAUUGCAGUGCAAACAUUUUUUCAAUUACAUAAUCGCAUUAUGAGCAGCCGCCAGCAGCUACAACAACUGAUCCAAAUACUCGCAAAAUAUGUGGCCGUGGCUCCGCUCUCA